AGAAUCUGGCUUCAGGUCUGGGACAACCAUCGGAAACGGUGGCUAAUACCGGAUGUGCCGAAAGGUGAAAGGCUUGCUGCCUGAAGAUGAGCUCGCGUCUGAUUAGCUAGUAGGUGUGGUAAGAGCGCACCUAGGCGACGAUCAGUAGCUGGUCUGAGAGGAUGAUCAGCCACACUGGGACUGAGACACGGCCCAGACUCCUACGGGAGGCAGCAGUGGGGAAUUUUCCGCAAUGGGCGAAAGCCUGACGGAGCAAUACCGCGUGAGGGAGGAAGGCUCUUGGGUUGUAAACCUCUUUUCUCAGGGAAGAACACAAUGACGGUACCUGAGGAAUAAGCAUCGGCUAACUCCGUGCCAGCAGCCGCGGUAAUACGGAGGAUGCAAGCGUUAUCCGGAAUGAUUGGGCGUAAAGCGUCCGCAGGUGGCUGUGUAAGUCUGCUGUUAAAGAGCAAGGCUCAACCUUGUAAAGGCAGUGGAAACUACACGGCUAGAGUGCGUUCGGGGCAGAGGGAAUUCCUGGUGUAGCGGUGAAAUGCGUAGAGAUCAGGAAGAACACCGGUGGCGAAAGCGCUCUGCUAGGCCGCAACUGACACUGAGGGACGAACGCUAGGGGAGCGAAUGGGA
rnacentral:rRNA from 14 species